UUCUCACUACUGCACUUGACUAGUC
rnacentral:piRNA from 5 species